rnacentral:piRNA from 1 species
UGAAAGUAAAGAAGCAAGCAAUCCUCC